rnacentral:tRNA from 1 species
GGCCACGUGGCCGAGUGGUUAGGCAGAGGCCUGCAAAGCCUUGUACACCGGUUCGAAUCCGGUCGUGGCCUCCG